AUAGGGCGGCACCUUGACGGUACCUAACCAGAAAGCCACGGCUAACUACGUGCCAGCAGCCGCGGUAAUACGUAGGUGGCAAGCGUUGUCCGGAAUUAUUGGGCGUAAAGGGCUCGCAGGCGGUUUCUUAAGUCUGAUGUGAAAGCCCCCGGCUCAACCGGGGAGGGUCAUUGGAAACUGGGGAACUUGAGUGCAGAAGAGGAGAGUGGAAUUCCACGUGUAGNNNNNNNNNNCGUAGAGAUGUGGAGGAACACCAGUGGCGAAGGCGACUCUCUGGUCUGUAACUGACGCUGAGGAGCGAAAGCGUGGGGAAAGGGCAGGAUUAGAUACCCUGGUAGUCCACGCCGU
rnacentral:rRNA from 1 species